UUUGCUUAAGCCUUUAUUUCUUGAUUUUUGAUUUUCAUAUUUUUCUUUUAAUUGUAAUUUAAAAUUUUCUUUUUGGUUGUAAAUGUAUCUUGAUUUAUUUUUUUUAUUGACUCUAUUUCAUAUUCCUUGUCAAGUAGAGCAAGAGCAUGCCGUAAAGUGACUAGUGACAAUGUAUUGUAACUUUUGUUUAGGUCUAGUAACAAAAAAGUUCAUCAAUCUGAUCAAACAUGCUGAAGAUAGUAUUCUUGAUCUAAAUAAAGUUGUUGACACAUUAGAGGGGAGUUGAUGUGUCAAGGCCAGGGGAGGCUAAUAAGAAUGCUGUUACCAUACAGGUGAGAUCAUAUGCAUAGGUGCAUAGCAACACCAAUCAAACAUGUAGCAGGGGCAAGAAGAAGCCCAUAGAAUAUGCUCAGAUAUAAAUGCCACACCGGACUUUGCGAGUGGGAUCAUGAAAAUGGUUCCUGAAGUUGAAAGUGAUGCAGAUUACUGGCUUUUACCAGAUGCUGAUGUUAGCAUUACAGACUUGUGGGGGAUCAUGUGUUUGAGUCAUUAGCUGUGUUGCUUUCUGAAUUGGAUGUCUUAGUUUUGUUGAUCUGGCUAUUAGUUGCCCCACUCCCUACACACGACCAGACACCACUUCAGAUGUGGGAGAUAUUGUAUUAGAAGGAAGUAGACAUCCUUGUGUCGAGGCACAAGAUUGGGUGAAUUUUAUCCCAAAUGAUUGUAAACUAGUCAGGGGAAAAAGUUGGUUCCAGAAUAUCACAGGGCCUAACAUGGGUGGAAAAUUCACAUUUAUCAGACAGAUGCAACCCUUUUGAGUACAUGAUGAUAUCCUCGCAUGUCGAUAUUGGAGCUUACUAUUGAUAUCAAAACAAGCUACAAUAUAUAUGUUUUUUUAUUUGUAUUGUCUAUACUUUUGUUUUGUUUUAGAUACAAAAAUUUGAGUUCUUGAAUACAAAAAAUUAUUAAUAUUGUUGGAGGAUGUUUUAUAUAUUUUUCUAAAUAAUAUUUGGUUGACAAUUGUUAGAGAGUACAUAUAUAUCAUUCUUGGUAUA